UACGGGGGAGCAAGCGUUGUUCGGAUUUACUGGGCGUAAAGGGCGCGUAGGCGGCUGCAACAAGUCACUUGUGAAAUCUCCGGGCUUAACCCGGAGCGGCCAAGUGAUACGUGGUCGUGCUAGAGUGCGGAAGGGGCUACUGGAAUUCUCGGUGUAGCGGUGAAAUGCGUAGAUAUCGAGAGGAACACCUGCGGCGAAGGCGGGUAGCUGGGCCGACACGUGACGCUGAGGCGCGAAAGCCAGGGAGCGAACGGG
rnacentral:rRNA from 1 species